rnacentral:rRNA from 1 species
GAUGAACGCUGGCGGCGUGCCUAAUACAUGCAAGUCGAGCGAACAGACUAGUCGCUUGCUCCUCUGACGUUAGCGGCUUACUGGUGCGUAACACGUGGAUAACCUCCCUAUAAGACUGGGAUAACUUCGGGAAACCGUAGCUAAUACCGGAUAAUAUAUUAAACCGCAUGGUUCAAUAGUGAAAGACGGUUUUGCUGUCACUUAUAGAUGGAUCCGCGCCGCAUUAGCUAGUUGGUCAGGUAACGGCUUACCAAGGCAACGAUGCGUAGCCGACCUGAGAGGGCGAUGGGCAGCAGUGGAGAGGAGACGAGGGGCAGAAUCGUAAGGGAGGCAGCAGUAGGAAAUCUUCCGGAAGGAGCGGAAGCGAAACGGGGGAAAGGGGCGGGAGUGAGGAGGAGCGACGGAGCGUAAAAGACGGAGAUUAGGGAGGAGCAAAUGUGUAAGAAAAGAGGAAAGGCUAGACGGUACCUACACAGGAAGCCACGGCUAACUACGUG